UACAGAGACUGCAAGCGUUAUUCGGAUUCACUGGGCGUAAAGGGUGCGCAGGCGGCCGAGUGUGUUGGAUGUGAAAGCCCGAGGCUCAACCUCGGAAUUGCAUUCAAAACUACUUGGCUAGAGUACUGGAGAGGGAGGCGGAAUUCACGGUGUAGCAGUGAAAUGCGUAGAUAUCGUGAGGAACACCAAUGGCGAAGGCAGCCUCCUGGACAGUUACUGACGCUCAGGCACGAAAGCGUGGGGAGCAAAAGGG
rnacentral:rRNA from 1 species